rnacentral:rRNA from 1 species
AUUGAACGCUGGCGGCAGGCUUAACACAUGCAAGUCGAGCGAGCGGCGGACGGGUGAGCAAUGUCUGGGAAACUACCCGAUGGGGGGGGAUAACGACUGGAAACGGUAGCUAAUACCGCAUACCAUCAGAUGUGCCCAGAUCGGAUUAGCUAGUAGGUGGGGUAAUGGCUCACCUAGGCGACGAUCCCUAGCUGGUCUGAGAGGAUGACCAGCCACACGGGAACUGAGACACGGUCCAGACUCCUACGUGAGGCAGCAGUGGGGAAUAUUGCACAAUGGGCGCAAGCCUGAUGCAGCCAUGCCGCGUGUGUGAAGAAGGACUUCGGAUUGUAAAGCACUUUCAGCGAGGAGGCGUUACGCGCAGAAGAAGCACCGGCUAACUCCGUGCCAGCAGCCGCGGUAAUAC